GUGAAGAACGCAGCGAAAUGCGAUAAGUAAUGUGAAUUGCAGAAUUCCGUGAAUCAUCGAAUCUUUGAACGCACAUUGCGCCCCCUGGUAUUCCGGGGGGCAUGCCUGUCCGAGCGUCAUUGCAACCUUCAAGCGCGGCUUGUGUGUUGGGUCUCGUCCCCCGUGGACGGGCCCGAAAGGCAGUGGCGGCGUCCCGACAUGGUGCCCGAGCGUAUGGGAAUCCUCUUCCGCUCGAAUCGGCCCAUGCGGCGCUGGUCGUAACCAAAUUUUUUACCGGUUGACCUCGGAUCAGGUAGGGAUACCCGCUGAACUUAAGCAUAUCAAUAAGCGGAGGA
rnacentral:misc_RNA from 1 species